GACAGAGGCCUCGAGCGUUAGGCGGAAUCACUGGGCUUAAAGCGUGUGUAGGCGGACCUCUAAGUACCUUGUGAAAUCCCACGGCUCACCCGUGGAACCGCUGGGUAUACUGGGGGUCUUGGGCCACUCAGGGGCGACUGGAACAAGCGGUGGAGCGGUGAAAUGCGUAGAUAUCGCUUGGAACGCCAAAGGUGGAAAACAGGU
rnacentral:rRNA from 1 species